UCUACAAAGAAGGUAGACUAUUAUAGAUCUAUAUGUAGCUCAAAAUUCAUUUCAAUUGUUAAUAGAUGUUGAUAUUACAUUAAAAUUUAGUGUAGACGUCCUUAUGUAGAUCUAGAUUUAAAACGAAAGGAUUCAAUUAGGGUGCAAUGGAGGCUUUAGACGAUGACAAAUAUAUUGAUCACAACCCAGAAGCCGAGCCAUAUGCUAAAUUUAAGUUUACUGUUGAGCGAUCACUUGGACUAGUUACUUUCCACAAUGCUGAGUGUGGACUUCAAACAGCUAUUUUUGGUUUGAAACAAGAUUUAAAAAGUCUUUUUAAUAUUCCAGCAGAGAGACAAGUGUGGACAUUAAGGAAUCGUGUUUUAGACGACACUAAAUGUUUGGAAAAUUAUGGCAUUACCGGCAUUGAAAAUGAAUCAACUCGAGGUGACGGAAUUCAAAUUGUCGUUAAGUCUACUAUAUAAUAUCUUGAAAGAUAUAAGUCUACCCUGUUUUGUUGAUAUGUAAAUAUUAUGUAUGCUAAUUUUUUAUUGAUAUUUUGGAUGUAGAAACAUUAAGGAGUUAAAAUGGUUAUUGCCGCUGGGAAGUAUACUCCGAAACAAAAGUAGGCCUAAACAAUUACAUUGAAUAGCAGUCUGUUGCUAUAAGGUGGAAUUAGUGAGUUAUGUAAUGUUAAUCACAUUUGAAUCAAUGUUGAUAGCUCAUUAAAGGACGGAUAGAAAAUACAUUUUGUUUUCAUUUCAUAUAUGUUAGAUAGCCAUUACUACUUUUGAUAUUUACAAUAAAUAUUGAAACAACA